rnacentral:rRNA from 14 species
CUUGAGAAUAUCAUCUUGUCUACAGCCAUACCAUCAUGAUCUCAGAAGCUAAGCAGGGCUGGGCCUGGUUAAUACUUGGAUGGGAAAAUAUCAUCCUGAGUGAGGUAACCCAGUCCCAAAAGGA